CCUACGGGUGGCAGCAGUGAGGAAUAUUGGUCAAUGGGCGGGAGCCUGAACCAGCCAAGUCGCGUGAGGGAAGACGGUCCUAUGGAUUGUAAACCUCUUUAGGCGGGGAGCAAUGCCGGGCACGCGUGCCCGGAGGGAGAGUACCCGCAGAAUAAGCAUCGGCUAACUCCGUGCCAGCAGCCGCGGUAAUACGGAGGAUGCGAGCGUUAUCCGGAUUUAUUGGGUUUAAAGGGUGCGUAGGCGGAUUUUUAAGUCAGCGGUAAAAUGUCCGGGCUCAACCCGGGCCGGCCGUUGAAACUGUUUCCCUUGAGUGUCGGAGAGGUAAUCGGAAUUCCUUGUGUAGCGGUGAAAUGCGUAGAUAUAAGGAAGAACACCAGUGGCGAAGGCGGAUUACUGGACGAUAACUGACGGUGAGGCGCGAAAGCGUGGGGAGCAAACAGGAUUAGAUACCCUUGUAGUC
rnacentral:rRNA from 1 species